rnacentral:rRNA from 1 species
CCUACGGGAGGCAGCAGUGAGGAAUAUUGGUCAAUGGGCGCGAUCCUGAACCAGCCAAGCCGCGUGAGGGAAGAAGGUCCUAUGGAUUGUAAACCUCUUUUAUAGGGGAACAAAGCCCGGGACGUGUCCCCUUCUGCAUGUAUCCUAUGAAAAAGCAUCGGCUAACUCCGUGCCAGCAGCCGCGGUAAUACGGAGGAUGCGAGCGUUAUCCGGAUUUAUUGGGUUUAAGGGGUGCGUAGGCGGUCCUUUAAGUCAGCGGUAAAAUUGCUGGGCUCAACCCAGUAGAGCCGUUGAAACUGGGAGACUUGAGUGGGUGAGAGGCAAGCGGAAUGCGCGGUGUAGCGGUGAAAUGCAUAGAUAUCGCGCAGAACCCCGAUUGCGAAGGCAGCGUGCCGGGGCAAGACUGACGCUGAGGCACGAAAGCGUGGGGAUCGAACAGGAUUAGAUACCCGUGUAGUC